GUCUGCAAACUCCAGCUGUACCCAAACACACACAGCCCUGCUGGAGCCCCAGGCCAAAAGGGUGACACCACUGAGGAGUGGCCUAAGACUAUUUUCUGAAGAGUCACUGCUGAUGAAGGGCACAAGUCAUCUGGCAAGGACUUCAAUCAUCUUGCUCUGUAGCGCUUCCAGGUCAAGGAGAGACAAGGCCAUGUAAAUCAAUACCAGCAGAUCACAAAAAAAACAAACAAACCUCAGAGCAAAUUGGGUACUGGAUGUUUUGAUUCAGUUUUAAACCUACCCCUUCAGCUACACCUAGAAACACCUUCUGCAAACAGACCUGAUGAGCCCAAGAGCAUCUGUCUCAGCCAUUGGUACAGAGUGGCCAUAGCACUUUACAGGUAGUAAGAAUUCUGUGGACAUAGAACCUUCUUAAAGUGGCUUCCAGUUUAUUAAAGGUCAGACUUUGAAAAUAAUCCACCGAGAAGAAGUCUGUGUGCCACUCGGUAAGCUGUAAAGUCCACGUGUCUUCCAGGAGGCUGCUUCAGUCUGCUCAGGCAACACAGCACAGGUUUGUGAGCCAAGAAAACACAUUCAACUUGCUGUGAGCUGGGGAUAUUAUGUCUGGCCACUGAUGUCAAGUUCACCUCAAAAAACGUCUCUGUACUGAGAGAAAAGAAUCCUUUAUUCUCCUGACAACAAUACAUCCAUUUUCAUAAGUUCACUUUAAACGUAAAAAAAAAAUAAACCCAACAGUAACAAACCAAGGCAUCAGCCCUGCAAAAUCACUUUCACUGUGUUGAAACCCCCAGAGCUGUCUCCCCAGGCACCCUGACAGUCAGUAGAAGCUCAAACUCUCCUGCUGCAGCCCAAAAUAAAUCCAUCUAAAAGUCAAACCCAGAUAGUGUUGCAGUGCUCCUAGGAAACCUGUUCUGCACAGCAGAAAUCCAGCUACUCAAACAGUGCAGAGCAAGGGAAUGAGUCAGGACACUGCCCUUAUCCAUGGGAAGUUUUCCAUUUACAGGAACAAAUACUGGUGCAACAACCAUAAUUCUGCCUCAGCUGCCUCUCCUGUUCAAUACGUCUAUUGUGCUCUAAGAAAACUUUCCUGCUAAUUAUUCUGUGGUACAUUCUUAUAUUUUGGCCAAAUGAUCAAAAUCCAGACAGAUUUUCAGAGACAGUAAAUUAAGGAAGUGUCUAAACCCCUUACACUCCCUCAGUGCACGACUCUGCAGCCAGCACAGAAGCUGAUAACUCAUAAAUGGAGAUACGACGCUGUCCUGUGCCUGCACACAGGGGAAGGGUUGGCCAGACAGUAGUGAGCUGGGACAGCAUUCAAGAAGCUUCCUAGUCCCAAGGCUUCACAGGCCUCAUAAAAUUUAUUAGCUCCAAAUUUAUAGCAGCUCUUGAGCAGCAAGUCAUGUACGGUCUAAUUCUCAGUGGAAAAUUCACAGUAAAAAUUCCCACAUGAGAGAAGUAGCCAGUGACGUGGGAGUGCUGAGCAGCACAGGAAAUUCUGGGAGAGACACCCAAAAUCGUGUCUGCUGUUCACAGUUCAGGACAGCAUCACAUGAAAUACCUGCCUGUGACAGCAAGGUCCCAUCCCUUUGAAGGAAAGGCAUCUGCAGCUGAACAGUUCAUCGCAAUAAAAGAGGCUGAUGUCACCAUGGGCCUACAUGAAAUACUAUCAAAUAUGUGACUUAUUUCCACUAGCUGUUACUUCUAAAGCGGUGUUCCCCCCUUUUUAAUCUUAAUUUCUAAGCAUCUCUUUAAAAAAAAAGCUUCUCUUGAGUUUCAUCAGAAAUGACUUGGAUGAUCUUCUGUUAAAAGAAUGACUUUUAUCCUCAUUCAAAUACAUAUUGUAUUGGCUUAGAAACAUCAAAGAGGCAAUGUCUUUACAUAUUCUAUUUCUAAGAAAAGAAAAGGAGUUCUCUCUUUAUUAACAUUGGUAAUGUUGAAUCUUAUAAUGAAAAAUGCACAAAAGCAAUAUUUUUGAUGAAUAGGUAAUAGAACAGCACUGAAUAAGAGAGCAUUAAUAUAUUUUUACCCAAAAACUCACACAGAUAAUGCAUCAGGAGGGUUUUGAACCGAGAUGAAGCCACAAGCAAAAAUGAAGUCGGUUUCCCACUCCCCAUCCUACAACCCAAUAUUUUUAUUGACCUUGAAAAUCCACCACGCAGUUCAAGCACAGCUUCCAAGGUGAUUGUCACAGCCCACAGCAAGCACAGCAGGAGCACUUCCUCUCAGGCCACAAGCACUUUGCAGGACACAGACAGUGCUGUCUGACCACACCAAUACGCAAACCUAGGGCAACUAUUUGAAUUAUGAGUGGAAAAAAAAAUGUGGUAGCAUCUUACAAGUGAGGUUUUGGUACCCAUGGAUAUUUUCAGGGUUUUUAUUGCACCAGCAAGUGACCUGCAGAAAAGUCUGCAGCAUAUUCUGGUAAAGAGUGGGCACGUAUCCUUUCUGUCUCUGCUAUGUGUAGCACAAUAGAGCCUUUGUGAUGUUCUCAAGAAAACCUAUUUAUGGACUUGGAUUUUGAACAUUCCUUUUGCUCUUUGUCAUCUUUUGCCAUUGUCUUUGAACCACUGUGAUAAUGAAAUUACAAAGGGUCAUAUAAGCAGUUAGAUAGGGGAAACAAAAAAGGAGAAAGAAAAAGGGAAUUUUAAAAUAAACCAGG